rnacentral:lncRNA from 1 species
CCCACCUUGGCCUCCCAAAGUGCUGGGAUUACAGGCGUGAGCCACCAUGCCCGGCCUGUCACAUUUAUUUCUGAUGACAGUAGACAUACUUUUCCAAGUUGUAGAAUAGGCAUACCAUCCUUCCAGAACAGCCAACACUCUGAAGUUUAUGAAAUUGGGUGACAUCUUUUGGAUCAGACCUUUUUUGAUUAGAGUGCUCUGGGAACACCUUCUCCUACAUAAAACCAGCCUCUGAAUUUCAGUGUCUAGUUUCCCUUGGUCUGCUUCCCUAUAAUGGGGCAGUGGUCAUGAGGGUCUGUCGGUGCUGUGAUGUGAAAAGCAGCCACGGUCCCGGUGUCCUGGGAAAGGUUACUGUCCUUAAUCAAAACAAAUCUUAUUAAUCUGAGGCAAGUGGUAGCACAGCUGUGAGUGGCCACCUAGAAAGAUGUGUGGCAGGAGAUUCAUGUCCACAAAGUAUAACACACCCCUCCACAACCACAACCAGCAGCAAACAGCAGGCCUGGAACCAGUGAAAAACCCACGUCGUGACCACUGAAUAAAGCAAUAGAACAUUGGAAGGGAUAGCUGCACUUGAAGGUUACUGUUUGUACACACACACACGCACACACAUGCACACACAUACGUGCACACACACGCACGCAUGCGCACGCACGCAUGCACACACAUGCACCCACAUGCAUGCGCACACACACGCACACACGCGCGCGCACACACACACACACACACACACACACGGCUGGCAGAGCACAUGGCAGGGCCUUGUCCUUGAAGAUGCUACAGCCCUAAAACGGAUUCUGGGAGGAUUCUGCAUGUGCAGCAGUGGGCUCUGCAUCCCCACCUGGGGGCCCGGGGGCCGCGGGGCUGCUGAAGCCAGGGCCUGGGGCUCUGCCACUGGUGGUGUGACCGUGGGCUAGCCACUAGGGUCCUCAGGACUCCCUGGCUUUCUAGGGGAGAAGUGGGGGAUGAGCCGAGACAAUUGUCCCAUUUUCUUCCAGCUCUCAUAACCACUUUGUGUCAUGAGUGCAGGUGGGUUACAACUGGGCCCUUAGGAAAGGAGGCAGAUGGAGGAAGAGCUGGCUGAGGGCUCAGGGGUCCCUGGAUCCCAGGGAGGGGUGAGAUUUCUGGAAGUGGAGAUGGCGGAGUGAGUGGUGUGGACUAGACAGUGUCUUAAAAAGCAUUGUCAACUAAGGUGACAAAUGCUUACUGGUAAGAGGACAGCCCCAGCCUGGCCUCACUGAUAAUGUUCCCGGAGUGGACCUGUGGGCCAUCCCCGUGGGCGCUGUUUUGGUGGUAAUUUUCAGUGAAUCCCUCUUUUCCCCAGUCCCCUGCAGGAGGACUCCAUCCCAAGCUCCCACGCCUGCCUAGCCGGCCGACCCAGCCAUGGCCCGGGCUCCAGGGCGGCUCAAGGGCUACCUCCUCCGGUGGUCCCUGACUUAGGUCCCAGCACAGCCCCCCAACCCAGGUUGGCCCGGCUGCAGGUUGUCUGAGAGAUGCCGUCGGUAUCGCAGGUCGAAAUCGUGUGAGAAGCUCCCACCUCCCGUCUCCUCGCCCUCACUGGGGCCUCUCAGGAAAGGCCAGCUUGUGAACACAGGGGUGGUGACAUCCUAGAAGCGGAGGAAGCUGGGGCCUGGCGUAGCAGACUGACCAGACCCUCACUGAGGGCCCAAGGCUGAGACUGGGUCACGGACAGUGGAGUCCCGGCGGUUCCCAACAAGACAGAGACUAGGAUCAGUCCCUGAGGCCACCGCCCACUGUCAGUAGACCCUGGGCUCCUCUCCUGACCCAGUCAGGGUCACCGUGAUGGGGACCACGAUGAAGGGGUAGAGGAUGCUGCCGGGCGGGUCCCGCACGGCCCUGCCUGAGAUGGGGCAGCUCCUGAAGUAGCGGCCAUGCACUGCCAGGAAGAACCUGUCCACCUCUGCAUUGGGCCAGAAGCAGCCCAGCUUCUCCGCCAUGUGCCAGGUGCAGUCGGCCAGCUCCCUGUAGCUCCUGCGGAUGGAAGAGGAGGUGGUGCCUUUACCCACAGGUAUGGCUGCCACCAGGCUAGAAGGAAGGGAGUGGAGGUGGCCGUGCCGAGCCAGGGGCCUGGGCGGCACGGGCAGAGGGUGUGCCAUUGGGGUGUUCCUUGGGCUUGGCUUGGAGAGAAGCCAUCGCGGAGUCCCCUCUGCUCCAGGAAUUUUAACCCUCGAAGCCACAGCGGGUGAGCUCAUUCCCACCCUGCCCCUUAGGUGCUCUCAGGACUCUGCUCCCCAGGGCUCUCUGGGGAGAGCAAACGCCAUCUGUUUCUGAACAACUUUCUCCAUAGAUGUGGGUUUGUAGGCCACAGGAUGCCCUUUGAAAUGAAGUGGACAAAACCCAAGUGGACCCAGCCAUCGGUGCUUUUCUGUGUCAUCUUCCAACCCAGGACGUGGGUGUCAAGUGCCUCUUGCAGCAGAGGAAACUGAGGCUCUGAGACAUCACUGGCCGUGGGUAGAGCCCAGACCACGCCGGCUCCUUCUGCCUCCAGCCCUGCAUUCCCUCCAACCCCCUGUGACCUCCUGCUUCACAGAACAGCCCUGAGACUCAGGAAGAAAGGCCCCUCUGGCGUUUCAUGGGGCUCAGAGCCUGUUCUUGGGGACUGAUGGCCUGAAGGGGUCUUGGUGGCAUUCACUGUUGUCACCAUUCCAUGAUAACUGCUGCAAUCAUGAAGGUCCACUGGGUACCCCUGCAUGACAGGCACAGGCUCGGCAAGGCCUGUGUGUGAGCUCGCUCAUGCUCGGGGACCGCUGUUACCCAUUGUUUUGUAGACAGGGAAAUGGAGGUUUGGGAAGGCUGGAGGGCUGCCAGGUGAGAGGGCCAGGGUGUGACUGCACGGGUCUCACACCUCACCACUGUCCCUCGCCCUCGGUGGCCAGAUCUGGCCACAGCUUGGACACUUCCUUGUCUGGGUCCAAGUUGCACUCACUGGGGGUUGAGGCCACAGUGGGCAUCCGUAAGCCAGAGAGCCUUGAAUGAGCCCUUGCCCCAUGGGGGCAGCCUGAGUGCCUCUAGGGCAGGUGCUGAGUCCCCUUCACCCCCGUAUCCAUGAUGCCAGUGUGAUGCCAGGCUUGCUGUGGAAGUUGUGCCACCAGGGCUGCAGCCAGGGUAGGAACAGGCUCAAAGGCCUUUCCACCAUCCCAGACUCUUCUCUCCUGGGAAGCAGAUGCCUUAGGCUGCUGAGGGAGGAACAGCACAGCCUGUCACCCCCAGGGCACAGACAAAGACACACCAUGGCUAGGGGAAGGAUAGGAAGGAACUCUUUUUCCUUGGAAGGGCACCAGGAAACCAUCCUGGCCUACGAUCCUGCACCAUAGAAAACAGAGGCCUUGGCUGGGUGUGGUGGCUUAACACCUGUAAUCCCAGCACUUUGGGAGGCUGAGGCGGGUGGAUCACAAGGUCAGGAGUUCAAGACCAGCCUGGCCAAGAUGGUGAAACCCUAUCUCUACUAAAAAUACAAAAAUUAGCCAGGCACAGUGGCGGGCACCUGUAAUCCCAGCUACGAGGGAGUCUGAGGCAAGAGAAUCGCUUGAACCCAGGAGGUGGAGGUUGCAGUGAGCCGAGAUCAUGCCGAGAUCAUGCCACUGCACUCUAGCCUGGGUGACAGAGCAAGACUCUGUCUCAAAAACACCACCACCACCACCACCACCACCACCAGAGGUCUCUUCUCACUGGGGAAGGGACAGGACAGUCACACCCAAGACCCCGACAGAGUUUGCCACAGGGAAGAGGGGUAGGAAUGCUGGGGUGAAGGGCACAGGGAAGGGCCUGUCUAAACUGAGGCUGGACCAGUACACAGAGAACCCACCCCAAGCCUUGAACAUAACCUUGGUAGAAUAACAAGCAGCAGCUGUCUACUGCCGAGAGAAAGUGGGGUAAGAUCCAUGCUGCAGCACAGGCAGGCAAGAGAAAGCUGAAAGCAGAGGGUGGGGCACCACACUGAGGAAUCUCCUCCAGUGCCCUAGUCCCAACCCUGGGCACAAGGCAAUGACAGCUCAUUGCUAGAGGUACUUGAGGCCUAUGGUACAUUGAAGAUAACCAUAACAAUGACAAAUCCCAAACCCAGCUCAAUUCCUAACAAGAUUGACUCAAAUCCCACACUAACGGUCUGACAGAAGAGGAUUACCCAUUUCCAUAUGUAAAUACUAUUGACCGUAGUCACCUCUGUUCUAUACAUGAAUGUUCAGUAUUCAAUAAAAAUUAUAUAUUUUUUGUUCAGAAGCAACAAAAAACAACCAACCCAUUGUCAAGAGGCAAAACAAUGAAUGGAGUUAGACUCAGAGACGACCUAGAUGUUGUAACUAUCAGACAGUUAUGUUAGAAUGGCUAGUAUGACAACGGGUCUAGUGGAAAUGGCAGACAAUAUGCAUGAACAGAUGGAGAAUUUAAGCAGAGAAGUGAAAACUCAAAGUCAAAGACAGUUGCUAGAAAUAAAAAGAUAUGGCAUCAGAGAGAAUUCCUUCAAUGGGCCCAUCAGCAGACACGAAAACUGAGGAAAGAGAGAAAUUGAAGAUGUCAGUAGAAAUUAACCAAACUGGAACACAAAGAGAAAAAAAAGUGAGGGAAAACCAGAGCAUCCAAGAACUGUGUAACAUGACAAUCCUAUAAAUGACAUCAACCUCAACUCAUAAUGUGAGAGUCCCAGAAAGAGGAGAGGGAAUGGAGCAGAAGAAAUAUUUGAAGAGAUAAUGGCUCAGGCUUUUAAAAAAAUAAUGAAAGACAUAAAAUCGCAGAUCCAAGAAGCUUGGAGAACCUCAAGCAGGACAGAAAACAAAGCAGCUACAACAGCAAACAACCAAAUAGACACAUCAAACUCCAACUGCUGAGCACCAAAGAAAAAGGAAAAAAUCUUGAGGUCAGAGGAAAAAAGACAUACAGAAGAACAGUGAGUUACAGCAGAUUUCUUAAUUUCUUAUCAGAGGCUUGUCAUGUGGGAAGACAAUGGGCAACAUCUUGAAAGUAUUAGAGGUUGCGGGGAGGGGAAACACAUUUGUCAGCCUGGAAUUCUAUACCUAGAAAAAAAUACCUUUUGAAAAUGAGGUUGAGGCUGGGCACAUUGGCUCACACCUGUGAUUCCAGCACUUUGGGAGGCCAAGGCAGGCGGAUCACUUGAGGUCAGGAGUUCGAGACCAGCCUGGCUAACAUGGUGAAACCUCAUCUCUACUAAAAAUACAAAAAUUAGCUGGGCAUGGUGGCAGAUGCCUGUAAUCCCAGCUACUCGGGAGGCUGAGGCAGGAGAAUUACUUGAACCUGGGAGGCGGAGGUUGCAGUGAGUUGAGAUCACGCCAUUGCACUCCAGCCUGGGUGACAGAGCAAGACUGUCUUUAAAAAAAAAAAAAAAAAAAAAAAAGAGGUUGAUAUAAGAACCUUUUGAGAAAAAAGCAGCUGAGAGAAUUCAUUGCCAGCAGACCUGUGCUACAAGAAAUGUCAAAGAAAGUUCUUCAGUGAUAAGAAAGAGUUUGAGAUCCACAUAAAUAGAUGAAGGGCUCCAAAAACAGUGAAAAUGAAGACAAUAGAAGGGUACUUUUCCUUAUAUUUAAUCUAGAAAGUGAGUAAAUGGAUCAGAGGCCAUAAAUUAAAUGUGAGGAGACCCCUGGGGGCUUUAAGAGGCUAUACAGAAAAAGUAGGGGCCUCUCCGGCAUCCCAGCACCCCUCUACCCCCGCCCCUAUCGUACGGUCACUGUUUUUCCUUCCUGGCUGCCCUCUAGGUCACUGCCCUGAGUGUGCAGGGCCUCCCUUAGCCCAUCCAAGAGGCCUAGUAGAUGAGGCAUGAGGAGGGAGAGGCAGCAGAGAGUGUGCCGUGCCUGUAGGCAUUGGGGUGUGUGGUCUCUCCAGGUGAACAAGGACUCAUGUUUCAAGAAGAAAACAGAAGUGGAAAAAGCCACAUGAAGUCGUGACGGUUUGAGUCUCAUCGUGGGGGAAAAACGAAUGAGUGCACGUUAUGUGGCCGGUCCAUGGUAAAUGUUAGACGUGUUAUUGUUGCUGAAAACCAAGUCCAGCCUUCUCAACUACAGGGCUAAACAGUGAGAAUGCUGCCUUUUUUUUUUUUUUUUUUUUGAGACAGAGUCUUGCUCUGUUGCCCAGGCUGGAGUGCAGUGGUACAAUCUCAGCUCACUGCAACCUCCGCUUCCCAGGUUCAAGCGAUUCUCCUGCCUCAGCCUCCUAAGUAGCUGGGACUACAGACAUGGUCCACCAUGCCUGGCUAAUUUUUGUAUUUUUAGUAGAGAUGGGGUUUCACUAUGUUGGCCAGGCUGGUCUCGAACUCCUGACCUCAGGUGAUCUACCCUCCUUGGCUUCCCAAAGUGCUGGGAUUACAGGCGUGAGCCACUGCAUCUGACCAAUGAAGCCUGCUUUGAAUGAUGAUCCUCUCCCAUAUCUCAGACCCACCAAACCCGCAGGCAGUUUAGUUUUUGGUGUUCUGCAGAUCCAGUGACACAUGAUCCUGAACACUGACCCCUGUCCUCUGAGGAGCGGAGCUGUGGCAUUUUUAGGAGGAGCUAUUGCCAUCUCUGCACUGGCCAAACAGAACAGGAAGGAGCGGAUGCAGGAAGCCACGCCACCACAGAACCCACGCCGAGGCCACGCUGAGGCAGAUAGGGCCGUGUGUGGGUGGGCUAUUCUGGGAUCAGGCACUCUCUCCUUGAUAUGUCAGCCUUCUGGAUUGCAGUGCCACCCACGUCUAAAAAUAUCUCUAAUGUGCAGUCGGCUGCCCACUUCAUCCUGUUUAUUUAUACAGAAGUGACAGCUGAAACUUUCAAUAAAUGUUGUGAGCUCCGUCAGUGAGGAUGUGAUAAAAGAAUUCCCCUCAGAGUACAGACAUUCUUCUGCCCAAAAGAACACAGAACGGACUGAAGGACCCAAAAUAGUCAUGAAAAAUACACCCUGGCUUUAACUCCCUAAAGUUUCAGUUCUCGUGUCACUGAGUAAUUAUCCUUUUUUGGCUAGGACCUUCUAUUCUGGGGCUCGAAGCAAACUUUGCUUGGAAUGUUCCUGAAUCCUAUGGUGGGAGUUUCCAGCAUAUCUGGGUCCCAAGUCAAGGCCCGACACCACUGUUCAUGGUUACUUGCUGGUAAGAAAGUGUGAUCACUGAUGCUCACAGGUGAGUCAUCUACUCUGGGGACACCCUGGGUUGCAGUUGUCCCCCAGCUACCCCCGGCUGGCCCUAAUAUGAAAUAUCUGAGCCUGGGCCCUGUCACCCAUAGACCUGGGUUCAAAUCCCAGCUCCACCUCUUACCCAGAGUGAUCCUGGAGACCUCAUUCGCUUGUUCAAGUCUUAGUCUCCUA